AACGAACGCUGGCGGCAUGCCUAACACAUGCAAGUCGAACGAGACCUUCGGGUCUAGUGGCGCACGGGUGCGUAACGCGUGGGAACCUGCCCUUAGGUUCGGAAUAACUCCCCGAAAGGGGUGCUAAUACCGGAUAAUGUCUUCUGACCAAAGAUUUAUCGCCUUAGGAUGGGCCCGCGUUGGUUUAGCUAGUUGGUAGGGUAAAAGCCUACCAAGGCUAGGAUCCAUAGCUGGUCUGAGAGGAUGAUCAGCCACACUGGGACUGAGACACGGCCCAGAAUCCUACGGGAGGCAGCAGUGGGGAAUACUGGACAAUGGGCGAAAGCAUGAAGCAGCAAUGCCGGGUGAGUGAUGAAGGCCUUAGGGUUGUAAAGCUCUUUUACCCGGGAUGAUAAUGACAGUACCGGGAGAAUAAGCUCCGGCUAACUCCGUG
rnacentral:rRNA from 1 species